rnacentral:rRNA from 1 species
UAGGGAAUCUUCGGCAAUGGGGGGAACCCUGACCGUGCAACGCCGCGUGAGUGAAGAAGGUUUUCGGAUCGUAAAGCUCUGUUGUUAAGGAAGAACGAGUGUGAGAAUGGAAAGUUCAUACUGUGACGGUACUUAACCAGAAAGGGACGGCUAACUACGUGCCAGCAGCCGCGGUAAUACGUAGGUCCCGAGCGUUGUCCGGAUUUAUUGGGCGUAAAGCGAGCGCAGGCGGUUAGAUAAGUCUGAAGUUAAAGGCAGUGGCUCAACCAUUGUAGGCUUUGGAAACUGUUUAACUUGAGUGCAGAAGGGGAGAGUGGAAUUCCAUGUGUAGCGGUGAAAUGCGUAGAUAUAUGGAGGAACACCGGUGGCGAAAGCGGCUCUCUGGUCUGUAACUGACGCUGAGGCUCGAAAGCGUGGGGAGCGAACAGG